AACGAACGCUGGCGGCAUGCCUAACACAUGCAAGUCGAACGAGACCUUCGGGUCUAGUGGCGCACGGGUGCGUAACGCGUGGGAAUCUGCCCUUGGGUUCGGAAUAACAGUUGGAAACGACUGCUAAUACCGGAUGAUGACGUAAGUCCAAAGAUUUAUCGCCCAAGGAUGAGCCCGCGUAGGAUUAGCUAGUUGGUGAGGUAAAGGCUCACCAAGGCGACGAUCCUUAGCUGGUCUGAGAGGAUGAUCAGCCACACUGGGACUGAGACACGGCCCAGACUCCUACGGGAGGCAGCAGUGGGGAAUAUUGGACAAUGGGCGAAAGCCUGAUACAGCAAUGCCGCGUGAGUGAUGAAGGCCUUAGGGUUGUAAAGCUCUUUUACCCGGGAUGAUAAUGACAGUACCGGGAGAAUAAGCUCCGGCUAACUCCGUG
rnacentral:rRNA from 1 species